UACGUAGGUGGCAAGCGUUAUCCGGAAUUACUGGGCGUAAAGCGCACGCAGGCGGUCUUUUAAGUUUGACGUGAAAUCUCCCGGCUUAACCGGGAGCGGUCGUUGGAAACUACUUGGCUUGAGGCGAUGAGAGGGGUGUGGAAUUCCCGGUGUAGUGGUGGAAUGCGUAGAUAUCGGGAGGAACAUCAGUGGCGAAAGCGGCACCCUGGCAUUAGCCUGACGCUCAGGUGCGAAAGCGUGGGGAGCGAACGGG
rnacentral:rRNA from 1 species